rnacentral:lncRNA from 1 species
AAGCGGGCACGCGCGGACCCUGCACCGGCCGCGGAGCCGCUAUGGGCCCGCCAGGCCCCUGGCGUGGCGCGGCGCAAGGACCGGCUCAGAGCCAGAAUUGAAACUCAAAGAUGGAUGAUCAGGAUCCUGGGGGCAUUAGCCCCCUUCAGCAGAUGGUGGCCUCAGGAGCUGGGGCUGUGGUCACCUCCCUCUUCAUGACACCCCUGGAUGUGGUGAAGGUCCGCCUUCAGUCUCAGAGACCCACGGUAGCCAGCGAAUUGACAACUCCCUCCAGAUUCUGGAGUCUUUCCUACACCAAAUCACCCUCCACUCUACAGUCCCCAGGGAAGUGCCUCCUGUACUGCAAUGGUGUCCUGGAGCCCCUGUACCUGUGCCCAAAUGGUACUCGCUGCGCCACCUGGUUUCAGGAUCCUACACGGUUCACUGGCACCUUGGUAAGCUCUGUACCAAGGACACACAUCCGUGUUUCCCUGAGGGACUCGAUUUGGCUAGGCUGUAGGUGUGGGCAGUGUAAAGCCAAUGGGGUGGCUAUUCAGUGUAGGAAGGGCUUGCCUGGGAGGCCAUUCCUUCAGAAUGCUUUUUGGUCCUGAUGUUGAGAACCAAAACCAGGACAUAAUACCUGAGUGCAUAUUAGGGGUGUUUUACUGCUGAAUUGCACCCUAGCCCUCCCUAAGGUUUGAUUUUUUUUUUUUUUUUUUGCUUUU